rnacentral:rRNA from 1 species
GAUGAACGCUGGCGGCGUGCCUAAUACAUGCAAGUCGAGCGAACAGAUGAGGAGGUUGCUCCUCUGACGUUAGCGGCGGGCGGGUGAGGAACACGUGGAGAACCUACCUAUAAGACUGGGGUAGCUUCGUGAAACCAGAGCUAAUACCGGAUAAUAUAUUGAACCGAUUGGUUCAAUAGUGAAAGACGGUAUUUCUGUCACUUAUAGAUUGGUCCGCGCCGCAUUAGAUAGUUGGUAAGGUAACGGCUUACCAAGGCAACGAUGCGUAGCCGACCUGAGAGGGUGAUCGGCCACACUGGAACUGAGACAAGGUCCAGACUCCUAACGGAGGCACCAGCAGGGAAUCUUCCGGAAUGAGCGAAAGCCUGACGGAGCAAAGCGGCGUGAGUCAUGAAGGUCUUCGGAUCGUAAACCUUUGUUCUCAGGGAAGAACAAAUGUGUAAGUAACUAUGCACGUCUUGACGGUACCUACUCAGAAAGCCCCGGCUAACUACGUG